ACAUCAGUGAGGUACAUCCUUACCUGUUGCUCUCUAGAGGAGCUUCAGAACAUGAUGAAUGGAGAUGGAUGAGAUGCUGAUUAAUCUCUUCCCUUCUAGAAGGUCUGCAACACCUUCUGGAAGCCGUUCUGAG